UAAGAGUCAAGUAAGUUUGUUUUUAAAAAUUACAUAUUACAUGUAAUAUCUUCCUUAGAGGUAGAAGAAUGAAUACAAAUUAGUUUUAUAUUCUACACUUGGCAUCAGAGCAUCAGAGCGAGGUUUUGUUGUUCCGCUGUCAGGCUGUCUGGCGGUGGUGAAGCUGCGCUGGUAAUGGAGCCGCAGAAUAAGUGUCUGAUGAGGUAGUUUCAGGGUAGGCGUUGCGGAAGGACGGUGACAAAACUAUGUGUAGUAUGGGAUGCAUGUGUAGUAUGAGGCUGCCAAGAAAGAUGAGGCAUAUUGGAGAAGCCUGCUGAAGGUAGAAAAUGAGAUAGAGUGUCAUGCAUAACGAGAUGGAUCUUGCGUUCUGUAUGACGGAGUAGAGGGAGAACCUCUCCUUUAAAAAUAUGGGUGAUUAUGUGCACCUGGAGAGGACUUUUGAAUAAUGGGUGAUUAUGUGCACCUGGAGAGAAGUGUUUGAGUGAAUUUGACGUUGAUGAAAAGUGCAUCAACAAAUUGGUGGUGGUAAGAAGUGCAUCACAGAUGAAGAGAAGUGCUUCAUAAACUCUCUUAAGUAGAUUUAAGAUUAUGAGGUGAUUGUUGGAAUAAUCUUAAAUUUAGUUAUUAUUAUUUAUUUAAUUAUUUGUUUAGUUAUUCAUUUUGAACAUUAGUUUUAGAUUGAAG
rnacentral:lncRNA from 1 species